UUUGCUUCUCGGCCUUUUGGCUAAGAUCAAGUGUAGUAUCUGUUCUUAUCAGUCACUGCGCUCUUGGCCUUCUGGCUAAUAAGACAGCGGUCACCUCCCUUUCUUUGGAAAACUUUUGCCUGUUGUGGCACUGUUUUCUGUCUUCAUAUGGGAGGACAUUGUUUUGUAAAUACAAAUGUAUUUAUUAUAAACGUUAGUCC